ensembl:processed_transcript Six3os1 SIX homeobox 3, opposite strand 1
AAAAGGAUCACAGAUGCUGCUCGGGGCCAGCCCUAUACUCCCUCCAGUGCCUGGUCUCCCGUGGACCCGCGGGGCUCUGCAGUUCUCUGGCGGCCGCGCCUUGUAAGCGCUAAGCCGGGAGGAGGGCGCAGGCAGGGCGCACAGCUCUGAGCGGGACCCUACCCGGCUCGGGCCCGCAGCAGCCCCGACUGUCCGAGAGCCUCUCCGCAAGCAAGGCUCUGCGCCGCCCUCUGAGCCCACCUCCUGGCCACAACGCUGCCUGCGCUUCUCCAGCCCAGGCCGGAAGCCCUAUGCUGCCUCCCGAAGCCGACUCAAGGACUGGGGACUUGGUGGAUCUAUGGCAUUGGUACCCACAGAGGUCACCUGCACAGAUAAAUCUGUCGCCACCCUUCAACCCUGGCCUACCGGAUCUGCGGGGAGAAAUGCAGCAUUUGAAUUGGGGAGUGUUCAGUCCUGCUCUGCGGGGCAUUUAUUUACAAAUAUCAGCUGCAACCCAGCCUUGAUAACGUCUCAUACAGUCAGAGGACUUUGCGGGAAGCACACUUCCUCCUUGUUUGGGGCUACAGGGAAAGCCCAGGAAAGCGAGUCCCAGAAGGCCUGGGACAGCUACACCCAGUUCACCCAUGCUCAACCCGGAACAGCCGACCCAAACGGUCAGGAAGGUUUGUCCUGGGGGCAACGCCUCUUCCGGGCUCUAGGAUAUUGGAAGACAGAGAGAUUGCUGGGUAGCGGGUGGUCUGGGCCUCCCCGCAAGCUGCAAACGAAGGAGCUUGGAGCAGACCGCCAGGGAGGGCGCAGGGGAGCGCAGUACUCAGGCGGAGAGGCCUCGAAGCCCUUCAGGGACUCCGAUUACUUUCCUUUGAACAACAACAACAACAACAAAAACAACAACAACAACUGCUCCCUCCCCCUUAUAUCCCCUCCCUUUUUUAGCCUCCGGGCACCAGGCUUCCACGUAAUUGUCCUUCUGGACAGUAAACACAGCUCAGUUGCCUCAACUUUCCUGGUGCAUAAAAGUUCCCGGCGUGAGGGGAAAUUUGAAUAUUUGAUCAGCCCCUUUGAGUGACCCUCAUUAGCCUGGCGCCCUGCUAAGGCCCCACCAUUGCAAAAAAGCUGCUGGGCCCGGCAUUUGUACGCCUUGUUAGCGCUGCUUAAUGAAGCCGCCCCGACGGCUCAAAGGCGGCCUCUGGGGCCGGCAGCGCGCACCUCUCGGCACCCCGCUCUGCCUAAUGAGCCCCGCCGCCCGCUAAAGGCCCUUCCACCCCCCACAUCCUCAAACAAGAGGGGUUUGGCUCCGUCUAGGACCUGAACACCUCCCACCACCGGGCCCAGGAGGGUGGGCACAAACCCAGUCUAGCUGGCUACUCGGUGAUCUAGCCCCUGGAGAAAGAAGCCAGCUACUUGGAGUAUGCAAGCUAAAAAUGGUUGUGUGAGUGGGAAAGUAGGGAAGUGGAUUUUACAGCCACUAGGUCUAGCUCACCCGUGGGUACCACGAACUUUCCCCCACAGGGCCAGCUGUAAAUCAAUUAACCAGCCCAGCUCCUUAAAGGUGCAUCUGGACUAGUGUUAGAACGUCAGAAGGGCUGGUACACAGGGGAGGGUCAGCUUUCCACUCCCCCCCUCAAAUUCCUUUGCUCUGGUCUCCCCAGGAGGCCUGGCACUUCUCCCCAGGUGGCCUCACACUUUCUGGAAGGUCAACCUUCCAGGCAACUAGAACUCUAGGCCUGUAUUUGAGAAAGGAUGGGCAGGUUCAGUUCACACCCCUCGGAGAAUGACUUCCAGUUUCACACAAUCCCAUCCCUGGUCUCUCUUCCAUUGCGUUUAUAGCCAUGGAGAGGUCUGAAGAAGUUAGCCCAGGAAAGACCACGCUCCUUAGGCAAGACUGGGACCCCAAACAAACCUGGACCAGAGGGGGAAAAUCCUAGGAAAAGGGAGUGGAGACAGCCACCCACUAGGACAAGCAUCUACUCCUUCUCUCCUCUUCUUGGGCCAAGGAACACGGCUAACUAGUUAAUAUAAGAAACCAUUAGAAACUGCACUUCACUCCUCAGGAAGAGUUGACAUCUCUCACUGCCCUCUUGCCUCCAUUGUUCUUUCUCCUGGACAGUUGGAACUCAAGAUCCCCUUUCACUCCCUUCUUGAGUACCCCUAGCACUUGCUGGGUUGGUGGAGCAGGGAACUCUCGGUUCUCCACUCAGGACUUUCUGGAAGCCCAUCUUCGUAUCCUCACCAGCCCACCCUCCUACGCUGGUCAGAGUGAGAUUGCUAACCUCAAGACCCCAUUCAAUGCCAGCUUUCAACUACUGCUGAAGACCAAUGUAGGUCCUGGAAUAGAAGAACUGCAGAGUGGGGCUGCGUAGAGGAUUCGGCAGUUUCUCGGCCACAAGGACGGAGUUUCUUAAGAAGGGAAAGAAGAGUGCGGGCAGAGAGGAGAGGUCCAAGGGGGAAAAGAGAGGCCUGAGGACGCUCUGGCGGCUCCAGUACCAAGCCUUGGUAUCUUUGGGAUUCUGGGGAGAGUGGAAGGGUUUACAAACUACACAUAAAUCGGUGAACUUGAACCACUGUGUAUCCCGAUUUUGCAUUGAGCCGGGCCCUGCGCACCCGGAAUGCUGAAGCGGCCAAGGGCAGAGAGGGGUGGUUUCUUCGGUUAAACAAACCCCAACCCGUAUCCUCAGCAACAACAACAAAAACUGCAAGUGCAGGAAGCAAAAUUAAACAUAAUUCCUUUUAUUUAUCUGUUGCAUUUAUAUCAUUAAAAUAUUUUUGGUUACGUUGUAUAGAAUAGCAUCCACUCUGAUUAUUACCUGCCAUAUCGGCUGUAUUCAACACAGCAAAAUUAACAAUUAAGAAAAUAAAGGCACAUCUUAUAUAU